UUCCUACUCCCUCCGUUUCAAAUUACUCGUCGCAGAAAUAGAUGUAUCUAGAACUAAAAUACAGCUAGAUACAUCCAUACGUGCGACAAGUAAUUCAGAACGGAGGGAGUAGAUC
rnacentral:pre_miRNA from 1 species